GACAUAGGUAAAAUGAACUCUUUUACUCAUGUGUGGUCGCAUUGGAAUAUUUUGGGAAUAUAUUAACUUAAAUUGCUAUGGAAUAAAAACUAAAAAUAUUAUCUUUAAAGCAUAACAAUGAAGGAGCAAGGGGGAUAUUCGAUGAAGCACAUGAUUUUUGCACUUUCAGUUAGCAUGUUCAUCGGCUUCUAUGUAGCACAGUUUAUUUCGAAUAUGUUAAUUUCUGAGAGCAUUCCAUCACACAAUAUUCAGCAGCAAAAACGAAACAAUAAUUUUUCGGUAAGGACUUGCACAAAUCCAGAUGGUGUCCCCGAUCAUCCAUUCGACAACUCGAUUGUGGCUGAUCAGCUAAGGAAAGAAGUACGUAUUCUCUGCUGGAUUAUGACCAAUCCCAACAACCACAAAAAUAAAUCCCGCCACAUUAAACGCACUUGGGGAAAACGCUGCAACAUUCUCCUAUUCAUGAGCUCAGAAUAUGACGAUGAACUGCCCACUGUUAAGCUAGACGUUGGAGAAGGCCGCGUAAAUUUAUGGCGGAAAGUGAAGGAGGCAUUCAAGUACGUCUAUAAACAUCACUACAACGAUGCGGAUUGGUUCUACAAGGCAGAUGAUGACACAUAUGCCAUCAUGGAGAAUCUUCGCUAUAUGUUAUAUCCCUACCAUCCAAUGACACCCGUGCACUUUGGCUGUAAGUUUAAAACUUAUGUUAAGCAAGGUUUUAUGGCAGGCGGACCGGGAUAUGUGCUAAGUAAGGAGGCUCUUCGUCGAUUAGUAGUUGAAGGUAUUCCAAAUAAUAAGUUGUGCCGGAGUGAAACCAACGAAUUUGAAGAUGUUGAGGUUGGUAGUUGCCUGGAAAAGCUCAAUGUAAUUGCGGGGGAUUCUAGAGACUGGAAUGGACGUGGACGCAUGUUUCCCUUCAUUCCUGAGCAGCAUUUACUACCUAUUAAGAAUAUGAGUUAUUGGUAUUGGAGCGCCAUUUUCUACCAAACUGAUGAAGGACUUGACUGCUGCUCAGACAAUACAAUAUCAUUUCACUAUAUCGACCCGAAAAUGAUGUAUGCUUUCGAAUAUCUUAUUUAUCAACUAAGGCCCUAUGGCAUAGUCAGAGAACUGCAUCGUUUACCGGCAAAGCUUAAUGUGGGAGAAUUUCUUCCACCGCCGAUAGAGGAAGUCGCUGACAGCAAUGAGGAUUCUGUGGAUGAUGAUGAUAGAUUAAUAAAGACAAGUACGAGUAGAUCUGCUGUAAUCGAGCCCAAUUCAAGUGAAGUUAAUUUAAGAAAGUUAGGUAAUUAAUAAAACAAUGGAAGCGAGUAUCUUAACAACUAUUAGAGCUUAUCAGAAGAGCGAUGCCAAAUGAAUUACUAAAUGAAUAAGCAUUGAGCCACUGUAAUUUGUCGUUAUUCUCUAUACAAACAAUGGCAACAGGUGCAUUUGGAUCGUUUUUUUUUGAGUAAAAUAUAUCAUUCAUCAUCAUUCAGACAUUAGUUACUUACAUGCGAUGCGAGAGAUAAGUCGGUUUUAGAAAAUAUCGAAAUAAAAAAUUAUAUCAUUUCAAGGUUAAAAGUGUAGCUGUUUUCUCAAGCCAACAAGGACCCAAAGAAAUUGUUAGUAGCACAAUGCGAACAGGACUUUUGUUUAACGAAGCAAAUCGUAAGGGCCUAAUUUUUAUCAUUGGAUGUUUUGUUACUUGGUGCCUGGUCAAACUUUACACAACGCCGCUUCGCAUUGAUUACUUU